rnacentral:rRNA from 1 species
GACGCACGCUGGCGGCGUGCUUAACACAAGCAAGUCGAACGGAAAGGCCUUUUCGGAGGCACUCGAGUGGCGAACGGGUGCGUAACACGUGGGUGAUCUGCCCUGCACUCUGGGAUAAGCCUGGGCAACUGGGUCUAAUACCGGAUAGGACCGCACUUCAGAGCGUGUGGUGUACAGCUUUUUCGGUGUAGGAUGAGCCCGCGGCCUAUCAGCUUGUUGGUGGGGUAAUGGCCUACCACGGCGGCGGCGGGUAGCCGGACUGAGAGGUUGGUCGGCCACAUUGGGACGGAGAUGCGGCCCAGACCCCGACGGGAGGCAGCAGUGGGGAAGAUUGCACAACGGGCGCCAGCCUGAUGCAGCGACGCCGCGUGGGGGAUGACGGCCUUCGGGUUGCAAGCGCCUUUCGCCAGGGACGAAGCGUUUUGUGACGGUACCUGGAGAAGAAGCACCGGCUAACUACGUG